rnacentral:rRNA from 1 species
AUUGAACGCUGGCGGCAUGCCUUACACAUGCMAGUCGGACGGCAGCGCGGGGGCAACCCUGGCGGCGAGUGGCGAACGGGUGAGUAAUACAUCGGAACGUGUCCUGGAGUGGGGGAUAGCCCGGCGAAAGCCGGAUUAAUACCGCAUACGCUCUGUGGAGGAAAGCGGGGGAUCUUCGGACCUCGCGCUCAAGGGGCGGCCGAUGGCAGAUUAGCUAGUUGGUGGGGUAAAGGCCUACCAAGGCGACGAUCUGUAGCUGGUCUGAGAGGACGACCAGCCACACUGGGACUGAGACACGGCCCAGACUCCUACGGGAGGCAGCAGUGGGGAAUUUUGGACAAUGGGGGCAACCCUGAUCCAGCAAUGCCGCGUGUGUGAAGAAGGCCUUCGGGUUGUAAAGCACUUUUGUCCGGAAAGAAAACCGCUUCUCUAAUACAGGGGCGGGAUGACGGUACCGGAAGAAUAAGCACCGGCUAACUACGUGCCAGCAGCCGCGGUAAUACGUAGGGUGCAAGCGUUAAUCGGAAUUACUGGGCGUAAAGCGUGCGCAGGCGGUUCGCUAAGACCGAUGUGAAAUCCCCGGGCUUAACCUGGGAACUGCAUUGGUGACUGGCGGGCUAGAGUAUGGCAGAGGGGGGUAGAAUUCCACGUGUAGCAGUGAAAUGCGUAGAGAUGUGGAGGAAUACCGAUGGCGAAGGCAGCCCCCUGGGCCAAUACUGACGCUCAUGCACGAAAGCGUGGGGAGCAAACAGGAUUAGAUACCCUGGUAGUCCACGCCCUAAACGAUGUCAACUAGUUGUCGGGUCUUCAUUGACUUGGUAACGAAGCUAACGCGUGAAGUUGACCGCCUGGGGAGUACGGUCGCAAGAUUAAAACUCAAAGGAAUUGACGGGGACCCGCACAAGCGGUGGAUGAUGUGGAUUAAUUCGAUGCAACGCGAAAAACCUUACCUACCCUUGAC